rnacentral:rRNA from 1 species
UCAGAGGUGAAAUUCUUGGAUUUAUGAAAGAUGAACAACUGCGAAAGCAUUUACCAAGGAUGUUUUCAUUAAUCAAGAACGAAAGUCAGGGGAUCGAAGAGGAUUAGAUACCCUCGUAGUCUUGACCAUAAACUAUGCCGACUCGGGAUUGGCGGUCGUUUGUUUUGAAUGACUCCGUCAGCACCGUAUGAAAAAUCAAAGUCUUUGGGUUCCGGG